GUCAUCAGGAACACCUGAGGCUGUGUCACGGGCACGUGCCCUCAACCUUGGCAAAAUAAACUUUCUAAAUUAACUGAGACCUGUCUCAGAUAUUUGGGGUUCACAUUUUGGUAACCAUGGGGGGAUUCUGAGUGGGGGUGCCCCGACCUUUGACAAAUCUCCUAUCAGUGUUUGGGACCAGCAUGAGCUAACUUUAUGGCUCAAACCAAUAGGACAAUUUGCUGAGGUCUGAGGUCCCCCUCCAGAGAAUCCCAGAUCUCCCAAAAUUUGGUUGAGAUCUAGUUUAUUUUGCUUUACAACUCCCCUUUUCUUGGAGUUUUACUUGCUUCCAACAAGGAAGGCAAAAUUUCCUGCUUCCAUAAUGAUAGAAGGCAGGUAACUCCUUUAUGGAGUUUGAGCUCGCUCCCAGCAGGGAAGACGAGUUUGAGGUUUUGUUCCUGCUUCUAGGAUGGUAGAAAGCAGUCUUCAGCCUGAGACCUGUCCCUAGAUGCUGUAUAGAGAAUGGACCGAAAGGGACCAAGGUAGAUAUGGAGAGAAGACCAGUUAGACGGUGAUUGCAUUAGUUCCAGGUGGAAAACACUAGUGGCUUGGAUCAAGGUUGAGACAGAAAAGAUGGAAAUGGAAGUCAAAUUCCAGAUCUGUUUUGGAAGGAGAAUUGACAGGCUCCCCAGUGAAUUGAGUAUGGGUGAAGAGUCCCAAGUCUGACCUUUCUUGUGAGCUCAAGACAAAGAUACAUCUCAAUGCCACCAAAAUAUCGCUUGUGCCUAGGUGCCAUAAGCCUAUUCAACAGAUCUAGAAUAAAAUCCAUCUUUCCUGUGCCACGCCAUAAUAUGAAUCAUAGUUGAGCUGAAGGCAAUUAAGCAGCAGAUGCAGGAAAGCUCCCUGCUCUCCCUCUAUUUGCUUAAAAUCAGGACAUAAAUUUACAGAGACAAAAGAUAUCCUGUCCUUUCUCUAUCAGAGAAAACAAGACAGUGUAAGCCCUUAUUGGCCUGUAGAUGCUACUAGAGGAAUCUAUAAGCUUUACUAACUAGCCUUUACCUGCCAUUUAUUUGCCUUCCCUCAAGUUUCCACCUCUAGAGAUUCAAAGCCUUUUUCCUUUGUCUUGUCACUUCUCCAAAAGUUGACCAUUCUUUGUUGAAGAUGAUAUAUAAGCUGGAAUUCAAAGCUACCUCUUUGAGAACUACUUAUUCUCCAAGUGUAUGCUUCAUGUAUGAAAUAUACAUGUUAAUAAAUUUGUUUUUCUCUUGUUAAUUUAUCUUUUGGUACAGGGGUCCAUUCCAGCUAAGAACCUAUGAAUGUUGAAAAAAUCAUUUUUAUUUUUCUUACACCUGACAUAACUGCUCUUCCUCCUCUAUUAUCUUAAUGAGAGGCAUUAUCUUUUGCCUGGCUAAAAUAUCACUUCGUGAGGGAAGACUUAUCUGAUUGCCUGUACUAGUUUAGGUCUCCCUGCCAUGUGCUUCUUUAAUUCCUCCCCAGUAAUGGCACUUACGAUAUUUUAUUACAUUUGUUGGGUAUUACAGGUGUAAGCCAUCACACCCGGCCAUUGGUUUAAUUAUCUAUAUCCCCCAUACAAUGUAAGAUUCAUUAGGGCAGGAACUGUUUCUAUUUUUCUUGCAGUUAUAAUCCCAACAACUAGAUAGGAAGCUGACAUAUAGUAGGUGCUCAAUUUAUUAUUUGUUUAAUGAAUGAAUAACAUAUGUUAGAAUUGUAAAUAAAUUCAGGGGAUAGCUUGGGGCACUCCAAUAUGAAUAAAUUACAUGAUAAGCUUUAUUUUAGGUGACUGAAGAGAAGGUGGGGAAAAGGCAUUACCUCUUCCUGCAUAUUGUUAGACAUUUCUUCAGCACUCUUCCUUUUAUACCCAUUCAGGAAAAACAAAAGUUCCAGACCUGAAGUCAAAUGAUUGAUUUCCUGAUUUAAACCAUCAUUCCACACCACAAUAGUUAAGCAUUAAAUAGAUAGC
rnacentral:lncRNA from 1 species